AUACCUAAAUUUUCAAAAAAUAACCUAAAUUUUUCCCUAAUUAUCAAAAUAUUUUCAAAAAAUUCAAAUUUUCUGGGGGGGCUAAGCCCCCCCACUUUUACUUCUGGGGGGGCUUUAGCCCCCCUAGCCCCCCCUGUUCCGCCGCCCCUGGUGGUCAGUUUCGUUUGCUAAAUCCAGCACUAGCAGAACCUUAAUGAAGAUGAGUUUUAUCAGGUUUAAAGCCUCUUCACGUGACAUAUAUUAUGGUUGACAAGAUUUGCCAAUAAGCUUAUGAAUUAUUAAUGAUGUUUGAAAUAUUGUUAAUGUGCACUUACAUUCAAUAUCGCGCAAGUUGUAAAAAUAUUCAAACUCCUUGUUUGAAGGCAUGUUGAAUGUAAGCUUACAGUUCAGAUUGGCGCCAUAGUUACCAGCGAAUCCAGGCGAGUGGACACGACCAGUAGGACUGGGGGUCAUUGAUCUGGUCGGACACACACUCACUGCUUGGGGCAAACCAGGUGCUAGAACA